GGUACCAGGGGGUGUGUUAACCUACCUCCACAGUAAGAAGGUACCAGGGGGUGUGUGUUAACCUACCUCCACAACAAGAAGGUACCAGGGGUGUGUGUUAACCUACCUCCACAGUGAGAAGGUACCAGGGGGUGUGUGUAACCUACCUCCACAGUGAGAAGGUACCAGGGGUGUGUGUUAACCUACCUCCACAGUGAGAAGGUACCAGGGGGUGUGUGUUAACCUACCUCCACAGUGAGAAGGUACCAGGGGUGUGUGUUAACCUACCUCCACAGUGAGAAGGUACCAGGGGGUGUGUUAACCUACCUCCACAGUGAGAAGGUACCAGGGGGUGUGUUAACCUACCUCCACAGUGAGAAGGUACCAGGGGGUGUGUUAACCUACCUCCACAGUGAGAAGGUACCAGGGGGUGUGUUAACCUACCUCCACAGUGAGAAGGUACCAGGGGUGUGUUAACCUACCUCCACAGUGAGAAGGUACCAGGGGUGUGUGUUAACCUACCUCCACAGUGAGAAGGUACCAGGGGUGUGUGUUAACCUACCUCCACAGUGAGAAGGUACCAGGGGUGUGUGUUAACCUACCUCCACAGUGAGAAGGUACCAGGGGUGUGUGUUAACCUACCUCCACAGUGAGAAGGUACCAGGGGUGUGUGUUAACCUACCUCCACAGUGAGAAGGUACCAGGGGGUGUGUGUUAACCUACCUCCACAGUGAGAAGGUACCAGGGGGUGUG